GCCGUGAUUUAUUCGCUCAUUUUCGCCCGAUUAUGGUUUCUCAACUGGCCAGCACUUUGGAAGGAGAAUACAUGGGCGGUAACUUAGUUUCUCUAAGCUUUUCUGCUUCUGUUUCCUUCUCAUUUUCUUUUAAAGACUAUUUCAAAAUGUCUUAGAGAAAUCCUAGGCAGAAACAUGAAUUUGGGUACAACUCAAGAGGUUUAUUUGACUGAAAUUGUUGAAACGGCUGUGACAAAAUGGGGUUCAAGUGGCUCCAGCUCAGGCUGCGCAUCUCGCUGUUUCCAGGCAGCUAAGGAGGGCAGGCAAAGCAGAGCUGGUAACGGGGAGCCUUGCUCAGGGCUUCCUCAGCAGAGAGUGGCACUGAACCGGGUGAGAAAAGUCUUGGAAAAGAGCUCAAGUGCUAGUAAAUCUUCCAGGGAAGGCCUGAAGGCCAUGACUUCUUUACCUACCCAAAUACAUCCAAGAGACGGACUUUUUGAAUCAGUGCUUAUCUUUGGGUGAGUGAGGCUGUCAGGACCGGGUGCAUCAUCACCCUUGGGUGAGGUAGCACCAGGCCUCAAGGAUAUUGCCAGCAUCCCUGCCUGGUCAUGGAACAGGGGUUGUCCUGGAGGAAAAUGUAAUGUGCCACUGGCAAAGCACAUUCAGCAUCAGUGAGGUGGCAGCUGUAAAAUGCCCUCAGCAAACACCCGUCUCCAAACUUGACCAAGGAGAAGGCCUGAAAAAUGCACUUCCACUCUCAUACUGGUGUUUACUAAACCCUGAUUUGCCAGCUGCCUCCUUAUAGAGGGAGAAAAAUAUAACUGUGAGGUAACUACUAUCUGCAAGCAUGUAACACUUCGUUUUGUUUAUUGCUCGAGAAUCCCUCAAUAUAUUUAGAGCCAAAAUUAGCACAACCGAGCAAAAUUCCAGCUGAAACAUAUUAACUGGUGAUUCAGGAUUUCUUUAGUGUGCAGCCUAUGCGUAUAAACCUGGUUUGCUCCCAUUGUAAAGAGAAAUGAAAUCACGCUGCAAAUAGCAAUUUUAGAGAGAAUCAUUAAUCAC
rnacentral:lncRNA from 1 species